rnacentral:rRNA from 1 species
UACGGAGGGGGCUAGCGUUGUUCGGAAUUACUGGGCGUAAAGCGCACGUAGGCGGCUUUGCAAGUUAGAGGUGAAAGCCCGGAGCUCAACUCCGGAAUUGCCUUUAAAACUGCAACGCUAGAAUUGUGGAGAGGUAAGUGGAAUUCCGAGUGUAGAGGUGAAAUUCGUAGAUAUUCGGAAGAACACCAGUGGCGAAGGCGACUUACUGGACACAUAUUGACGCUGAGGUGCGAAAGCGUGGGGAGCAAACAGGG